AAAAAGGCAAACCCUGGGUUUCCAUGUCCAACUUUGACUGUUCGUCUUAUAUGAAAUUUUUUUAUAAUUCGUAUUUUCAUUGUUGUUAGAUGAUAAAACAUGAUUAAUAUUUUAUGCGUGACUUGUCUUUUAAUUUUUUUUUAUAAUUUUUUCAAAUAAGACGGACGGUCGAACGUUGGACACGGAAACCAGGGUU
rnacentral:pre_miRNA from 1 species